rnacentral:rRNA from 1 species
GACGAACGCUGACGGCGUGCUUAACACAUGCAAGUCGAAGGGAGUGGCGAACGGGUGAGUAACACGUGAGUAACUUGCCCUUUUCUUUGGGAUAAGCCUGGGAAACUGGGUCUAAUCCUGGAUGGAUGGGGCUGGGGUCGCGGUGUAUCAGCGUGUUGGUGGGGUGAUGGCUUUCCAAGGCUUUGACGGGUUGCCGGCCUGAGAGGGUGGUCGGGCACGCGGGGACUGAGAUACGGCCCAGACUCCUACGGGGGGCAGCAGUGGGGGAUAUUGCACAAUGGACGAAAGUCUGAUGCAGCGACGUCGUGUGGGGGAUGAAGGCCGUCGGGUUGUAAACUCCUUUCGCCCGCGGAAUGGUAGUGGGUAAAGAAGCGCCGGCUAACUACGUGCCAGCAGCCGCGGUAAUUC